AACAGAGGAACUUCUACUAAAAUCGCACACGUCCUGUGUGCAACGUAGAAGCCACCACAUCCUGUGGC
rnacentral:sRNA from 1 species